UACGUAGGUGGCAAGCGUUAUCCGGAAUUAUUGGGCGUAAAGAGCGCGCAGGUGGUUGAUUAAGUCUGAUGUGAAAGCCCACGGCUUAACCGUGGAGGGUCAUUGGAAACUGGUCGACUUGAGUGCAGAAGAGGGAAGUGGAAUUCCAUGUGUAGCGGUGAAAUGCGUAGAGAUAUGGAGGAACACCAGUGGCGAAGGCGGCUUCCUGGUCUGUAACUGACACUGAGGCGCGAAGGCGUGUGGAUCAAACAGGAUUAGAUACCCCCGUA
rnacentral:rRNA from 1 species